AGCUAGGUCCUGCGCAAGAGAGGAUCGCGAAUUCCGCCAGGCCCGGAAGGGAGCAACGGUACCGAUAAUUUCUCUGUGCCGCGGGGGUGCCUAGCUAUC
rnacentral:SRP_RNA from 1 species